rnacentral:tRNA from 1 species
UGGGGCGUGGCCAAACGGUAAGGCAGCGGUUUCUGGUACCGAAGAUUGUAGGUUCAAUUCCUACCGCCCCAGCCA